UGUUGGCCAUGCUGGUCUCGAACUCCUGACCUCAGGUGAUUCACUUGUCUUGGACUCCCAAAAUGCUGGGAUUACAGGCGUGAGCCACUGUGUCUGGCCAGGUGCCUCUAAGUUCUAAGGAUGCCAUGAAGAGCUUACGGCUUUGAGACUGGAGGUGAGAGACAAGAGGCAUCACAAAUGCAGCAGGAGGUGGAGCACACCAAGGCCCAGUGUUCACAUGGAAGUCACCUGCAGCUUAGGUGGAGGGAUUAAAGAUGAUGUGGCGUUUUUCAGGUGGGGCAGUAAGCCACACUCUGGGUGAUGGUGGACUUUGACCCCAUAGGGUCCCUGGGACCUAGGUGAACUAGGUCCUGGGGGAGAGUGUGGCCAUCCAUUGAACCUUGCCUAGAAUGGCACCUUUUCGUGUCCUAGUUCCUGCAGUCCUCCAAUCCCUGCCACCUGGGACAAUUCCUCCAAGAAUUCCCUCCCCAGGACACUGGCUCUCCCUGUCUGCCCCCUCUCCUAGAAUAGACUACCUCCCAGUGUGUGACCCACUGCCUUGCAUGGGGCUUCAAGACUUUCCUGGCUCAGUGCCCCAAGGAAAGCUCACCCUCUUAUUCCAUAUUCACCCCUCUCCAGCCCAGGACAACACGGGUAGUAGGGGAAGGAGCAACAGCAUGUGGUGGGCAGGAUAAAUUUGACGAGGACCUAUACCAGAUCCUGUAGUCACUGCUUACCACACCUCUAACCAGGCCUCCCUCCUGCCCAAAUGGAUUCUCACUUCUUGGGAUCAUGGUACCUUCAUCUGUGCCCUUGCUGAAUACUAACAUGGGCCAAGCAUACUGUGGCACUUAAUAAAUGCUUUCUGCCCAGGGGAUGGGGCUGUUGCAUAAUGGUCCACUGUGUUUCCGCAGGCUCCCAGCGUGGGGGUUGGGAGUGGGGACGGACGGGUUUCCAGUUCAUUUGUUAGCUGGGCAUUCUGCAGUCUGAGGCGUCUUUGUCUUUUUAAGGCCCAUCCCUGGUCUCUCCCUAAUCCAGGAAGCAUCCCUGCCUCCCUAGGUCCACAGAGGUCCUUUCUCCUUUCAGGAAUCUCAUUGCCUUUAGAAUUGAAGCCACCAUCGUAUCCUGAGCUGUUGGCCUCUGUUUCCUGUGAGUGAGUCUCCUGUCCCUCUGCUGCUGUGUCUUUGUUUUCUGUUGGUCAAGAGCUGAGCUUGAAACUCACAGCCUGGGUGUGAACUCAGCUUCUCCACUUACUCAGUGUGAGCAGGACCUUCAGCAAGCCACCUCUUUCUUGGAGCCUUCUUUUUCUCAUCUGUUGAGUGGGGGUAAGAGUAAUACUUGUCUCAAAGAGCUGGGAAGAUGGAAUGAGUUCCUGCUUGUAGAGUACUUAGCCCAAUGUCUAGGGCAGAGUAGAUACUUGCUGAGUGGUGACUGUUGUCACUUAUUAUUAUUGUUCCCAGGCAGCAGGGCUGAGCUCAGAACCAGGUCUGUUAUGGUGCUUAGCAUCUGUUGCCUGAGCAAGCAGCUGCCUUUGCAAUCCUGCAAUCUUGCAAGGGUCAUGGGUGGAAAGUGGGGACCAGGGUGGGGAGGGCACCAGGAAUCUUGCUUUCUGAGGCCAGGCUGAGGCCGCCAGGACGUUCAGCCUGAGUGGUGCUCCUCUUGCCAAGAGAUGGCCAUCUCCAGAUGUCUGCAGGCCGGAGGAGCCGGCUGGCCAUGUGGGGGCCUGGGGGCAGAGACAGGACUAAUGGGAGGAAAUUACACAGAGAGAUUUCAUCUCGGCUUGAGGAAGCACAUCUAGCAGUCAGAGCUGGCCAGCCAUGGCCCGCCCGGGCUGCAGCAGAGGCAGUGAGCUCCCUGUCACCAGAGGUGUGUGAGCAGAGGCUGGGGGCUCUCUAGGGAGGGAAGUCGCAGAGGGGCUGUCUGCCCUCCUGGCCCCUCUGAGGCUGUGAGCAGUCCCUUCUACUUCCUGUGUGGCUCUGCCCAUCGCUUGGCCCAGUUGAGCCUACUGCAGGCAUCUGACCAGCUGCAGGCUCUGAGGUGAGUGUGAGGGCAAAGGUUUGGACACCUCUGGCUCCAAAUUGGGGCAGGAGGUUGGAGCAGGGGUGGUCACUGUAAGAGUCUGAUCUCAGGGGGGCCUCAUACCAACAACAUCACCUUCUUUUUGGAGAGGCAGCCUAGUGUAGUGGCUGGUAGCCUUAGGCCUUCUGGGGCCAGGGAGGACAGAGACCGGAGGGAGGGAUUAUUCUUAAGCCAGACACCCCUCACGGGCUUCAACUUUUCCUAAAACCAGGAACUGGAAGGAGAAAGAUGGGAAGAAACAGGAGAGAAGAGAGCCUGGGUUUCCAUUUUGCUCCCACCACUUGGCAGCUCUGUGGCUUUGGGAGGUCACCCUCUUUUGGUUUGUAAGUUACUUACCCUAUUUGUCACUUACCCUCUUCGGUAUCAUCUGUAAGAUAGGAUGACGGCCCGGGCACGGUGGCUCACGCCUGUAAUCCCAGCACUUUGGGAGGCCAAGGCGAGUGGAUCACGAGGUCGGGAGUUCGAGACCAGCCUGGCCAACAUGGUGAAACUCCGUCUCUACUAAAAAUACAAAAAUUAGCUGGGCGUGGAGGCGUACGCCUGUAAUCCCAGCUACUCGGGAGGCUGAGGCAGGAGAAUUGCUUGAACCCAGGAGGCAGAGGUUGCAGUGAGCCGAGAUCACGCCAUUGAACUCCAGCCCGGGCGACAGGAUGAGACUCCGUCUCACUGGAUUCUUGUGAGGAUUAAACUGGUUACUGUUUUUAACAUACUUGGAAGAGUUUGUGGUCCUGUGUUUGUUAAAUGUAUGCAAAUUAACUGCCCAGCUCACCUAUGCCUGGCAUUCUGCAAGGGGCUUCACAUCAGUUGCCUUGUUUGGUCUUUACCACAGCCUCAUGAGCUUGGAAUGACUAUUAUUAGGAAAAGUGGACCCAAGAAAGUCAAGUUCCUUGCCCAAGGUCACACAGCUGGUAAAAGGCAGAGCGAAGGUUGAAACUCAGGAUGGUCUGUCUCCAGGACCCGGGCUCUCCACCACUCAGCUCUGCCUAUUCCAGGGCUGCAACCUCUCUACGGAAGUGAAGCGUCUACUGCAUCACUUUUGACAAACAGCGCAUCAGCCGGCAAAGGGAUGAGGGGUGGGCCAAGAAGGGCCCCUUCCCCCUCAGGCCGGAGAGAUUCCUCUGACUAAUUUACCGGGUGACUCUGAUGGCAAACUGCAGCCCUGUUCCCUCCAGCUGAGACUCCGCUGUCUUACUCAUGACUGGGUCCCCUGGGCAGAGCCAGGGCCUGGCAGAGAGCAGAUGUCCAGUAAAUACCUCUUGGCCCUAAGAAUGACUGGAAACACUCACGCAGUGGGAACACCUUCCUGUGUGUUAUCUCAUCUCAUCCUCACAGCAGCCCAGAGAGGGAAUAGCAUGCUGUUUAUGGCAGACAGCAUCGAGGAACUGCUUGGGACCCCUGCCCCCAUGCCUGCAGACUUCAGAGCCGUCUGGGAUUGGGCGUGGCAGGGCGGCUCCUCCGAGUGCAUCCGUUGUGAGUGGUGAAAGUAUAUCUCCUCGCUUUGGGGUCACUGGUGGGCCCCUGUGGUUUUCCUUGUCAGUUUUGCUGUUUUUAGUCUUUGUUCACUGCUCUGUUAUUACCGACAUCUUAAAGGGUUUCCCCGUCGUGGUCAAGUUGGUCUUUUGUUUUUAGAAUUUUAGAAUUUCUCUCCUUUUCUCCUCUUUCUCCUCCUGGUCCAUGGUUUUGGAAAAAGCUGAAGCAGGAGGUAGGUGUGGGCGGGGGGGUUAAAAGCAACCCCACCCUGCAUCCCUUGCCUCCCUGUCCCUAUCUCCAACAGGCCUGAGGGGCCCCCAGGGUGGACCUAGCUUGGAGGGCAGCAUCUUGGGGAGAGGGCACCCUUAUAAACUGGAGAUUCUUGUUCAUGUUCUAUGUAGAGCUUUGGUGCCUCUCACCCUGCAUGUACAAGACCCUUUGUGCGGUGAUCCAUCCAUUCUCCUUCCCUCCAGGAUUCUCACCUGCCCAGGGAUGCGUGCCCACUGUGGGCAGCUGCCAGCACCCCUGCACCCGUUGACUCGACCGCAGGUGCACACAGAUCUGAGGCCCUGAUCUGUUCCACUCUCUUUAUGCCAAACAGAGGAGGGACGCGAACCCCAGCAUGAAACGGCGCCCACAACCACAAGGCCCGGUGUGCGCCCUCUGAAACCGUAGGUAAAGACAAUUACCGGCAAUUUCCACAGCGUGGUUUGUUUUUUGUUCAAAGGCCAUGGAGGCAUUCUCAGCAGCAGGCCCAAAAUGUAGUAUUCCCACCGCACGCCGCCCUCAUGAAUUUGUGAUAAAAGCUGUGGUCGCUUUGUCCCGGCUCUUCCUUUUAACAGUCAAACCUUCAGGUUUGAUGUUGAAACUGCUUUUUUCUUCAAGUGUACUUUGAUGGUGAAGAUAACGCUCCGUGAUAAGGAACCUGCCUUCAAAACCACUCACUGUACCUCGUGCUCACCAUUAAGAUGCACGUCACAAGGGAAAAUCAGGCACCUGAAUUUUUGAGUAGUGGGAUGGGAAUGUGCUGAAUCUGUGAAAUUCUCCUCUGUGCUGCCUGUAUUGGAGAUUUUGCCAUCCCCCAACCCCCAAGAAAAGGAGAAGAAGAAGAAGGAGAAGGGGAAGGGGAAGGAAGAAGGAAGAAAAAGAAGGAGAAGGAAAAAGCACCAGGCACUGACCAGAAGGAGGUCCUGGGAUGGGAGGAAAAUGG